rnacentral:rRNA from 1 species
ACAGCAGCCGCCGCGGUAAUACGUAGGGUGCAAGCGUUAAUCGGAAUUACUGGGCGUAAAGCGUGCGCAGGCGGUUCUAUAAGACAGAUGUGAAAUCCCCGGGCUCAACCUGGGAACUGCAUUUGUGACUGUAGAGCUGGAGUACGGCAGAGGGGGAUGGAAUUCCGCGUGUAGCAGUGAAAUGCGUAGAUAUGCGGAGGAACACCGAUGGCGAAGGCAAUCCCCUGGGCCUGUACUGACGCUCAUGCACGAAAGCGUGGGGAGCAAACAGGAUUAGAUACCCGGGUAGUCCCUGUCUCUUAUAC